CGAGGUGAGACCUCGAAUUCCAGCGGACGACGCGGAACCGUCUCCCCCUCGUCUCUCUCUCGCAACCCCAUCCCCUCUCGCCCUCUCCUCUCUGGUGCGCCGCCUCCCCUCGUCCCUCUCCUCCCUCGAUUCGCGCCACCGGCAGUUCCUCUCCCCCAUCUGCACCGAUUUUUGCCGGAUGCGUUCAUGCUAAACUCAAGAUGGCAAACUCUUCAUGUGAAUAGAAAACAGUGAGAAUUUUUUUUCCUGUAUGAACCGUAGAUCCUUUUGAGAUUAUAUCAAUUGAUGGUGCUGCAAAAGUGCAAAUACAAAUGAAAUGGCCGCUGAAAAUUUGAA